rnacentral:misc_RNA from 1 species
AAAUAGGACUGAAAGAACCAUAAUGGGAUCGAAACGAAGGACCAAUAUUGAUAACAUCUAAGCUUUUGGGGUCAAAUGAAUCAGUCGAAAUACGGUAUUGGAAAGCUUUGUAUUCAUGGGUAUGAAUCAGUUGUUCCUGAGAAGGCGUCGAUAACAGAAGGAACAAAGAUGGUGGCAGCGAAAGUGGAUACGGAGAAUUUUGAGGGGUAAAAGAGUGAGAAACAGAGGAAGAGAGAGAAAUGGUGGUAGUAGAAUCCUUCAGAGAGGGUCUCAAAGGGGUUUUCCGUCGACCGGAAAACCACCCUAGAAGGACGCAGGAAGGGUCCUCACGGUGCUUAUGCUGUAAAGGGAGGGGAAAGUGAGAAGGGAUGGAGAGGAAAUCGGUGAUGGUGGCGGUAAGAGUUGGUCCAUCAGCGCCGGAAGAUGAGGCGGAGUUCAUGGCGGUUACUGAGGAGAAAUUGGACGCGAGGUCAUCGGAGAGAGAGAUGGUGGUGGAGAAUGACACGUGGCCGAAGAGUAAACCGUGGAUGUCACCGGAAGAUGAGAAAAAACGGUGGAGAACGGAGGCUAGAGUAGUACCGGAGAUUUGAAUCUUGUGUAUAUGGUGAUCGUCCAUGAUUUACGAUGAUACCGAGAUUGGUUAUCUGAGGAUCGCCGGCGCCGGCGUAUUUGUUAAUUGGGGCGGUACCAAAUCCAAAUGGAAACCCCUUAAAUGCAAA